CAAUCCAUCUCAAUACCACCGCCCCGCCCAGGACGACAUGCAACGACCGGUGUUGGCGCGUCCUCGUGGGUGGCGGUGAGGAGGACGGCCAGUGGCAGCCCCCCGAAGGACCACCAUGACGACACCUCGCCGCGGCCGCUCGGCAUGGGUUGCCGCCCCGCGUCCUAGAGAUGGGGAAUCUUGUAGCUGGAGUCUGGAGAUGUAUACAUGGUUGACUCAAUCCUAAUUGUUGGAAACAAUAUCACAGAUCAAAGCUUUAUCGAGUCUCAUAAAAUGUGUGAGAAGUGUGAGAAUAGAGUUCUCAUGAAGGAGGCAUCAUGGGCAUUGUGAAACGUAGCAGCAGGCAAGUUUGGGCACAGGAAAUAUUGCAGGUUAUGAGGGUGUACCCCAAACAGGGCCCAAAGCAUGUGGAGAGGAAGGAUGCCCACGGGCAUUUGUUGGCGCGAGCUGAUGCGAUCCCGCUGUGGCAAUUGGGAUGGGUAGAUGGGGAGGCAUGGUGGAGGCCGGUGGCAGCAUCUGGAAGAAAACAAUGAGCGAGGCGGCGGCAGUGUACAGUGGCAUGGCCGUUGUGUUGCAGCCGUCGCAUAGACGUCGAAGGAGCACCAGCGACGCGCGCGCGCACACAGACACACACACUAAUGGUGCUGCUGGAGGCCAUGGGGCUGAGCA